AGGACGAACGCUGGCGGCGUGCUUAACACGUGCAAGUCGAGCGGAAAGGCCCUUCGGGGUACUCGAGCGGCGAACGGGUGAGUAACACGUGAGUAAUCUGCCUUCAGCUCUGGGAUAGCUACCGGGGAAACCGGGAUUAAUACCGGAUAUGACCACUUCGGACAUCUGUUGUGGUGGAAAGUUUUUCGGCUGGAGAUGAGCUCGCGGCCUAUCAGCUUGUUGGUGGGGUAAAGGCCUACCAAGGCGACGACGGGUA
rnacentral:rRNA from 1 species